GGAACUUAAAUACAAAAUUGCAUAACCAAAUUCCCACUUGUUACAGAUAUGAACAUGAAAUAGGUAAGCAUGUUUUCCCUAUACUUAACCAUUGACAUAUGACAGGCGAAAUUCCAGCCUUAAGUAUACAUAUUUAUAAAAACGGGUGGUGAAUUUUUACUAAAUCCUAAAGUUGUAGCAUCUUUUACAUUGAUGGGGAUAUAAGCAUGACCCAAAACAAAAUCAACUCCAUCAAAAUAUUGAACUCCCCUGAUCCCAUUACUGUAGGAUAAAUAGUUUAUGUUAAAACUUUUUUUGUUUCUAUGUUUGGCGAUUUAAAAUGACGUGUAAAGACAACAUGGCAACCUGGUCAGUGGUAAAAUUUCCCAGUGACAAUUCCGUGGAAGCGGUACCUACGUCGUGGUUGAAUGGGAAUAGAUGUGUAUGGCCGUCCUAUCCACUAAACAGUCAGAAAUUAUUGGAUGCCGUUGAGAAGCAGUCGAGUCCUGGCUGUGAUUGGCAGACGUAUGAUAUAAUUCCUUUUAAAAAUAAUGUUUUUGAUGAUUUCACUGUAGCAAAAAAGAAGGCUGAAAAAGCUCUUGCUACUUCCGACUUAGAAUCAGAUUCACAAGCUUUCGAGGAAAAAAACAAAACGAGCACCAAAAGAAAAAUUAAAUUGAAGAAAGAAUUUAGCUUUUCUUCUGUCGAGGAGGAAUCACUUGAUUUCGUUCCGCCUGAGUUAAAUUUCAAUGAGCUGCCUUCAAGAAAACCUGAUAUAAAUAAUGGUUUUGAGCAUAAAGGACACCGUCCAUCCAAAUCAACUAAAAAGGUCAACAUAAUCCAAGACAUUGAGGUUACUCCAUAUCGAAUUGCAACCACAAGAAACUGUAAUAAUAAUUCUGCUGUAACUUCUACGGAAACGCCGCCUUCUCGAAACACAGGUCGAAACAUUUCGAAUUCAGAUCUGUAUGAUCUGCUGACACGGAUUUUAAGAAAGCAAGAAUUAUUACAUGUAGUUGUGGCAGACAUCAGACAAGGUUUAGAUAACAUAGAAGCCAGUUUAUUGAAAGUCCCAGUAGAGAGUGAAAAGGAAAACUCGAUUCUUGCUCAAUUUGAAUUACCCCUAAAUUCUAAGGAAAGUUUAGCGCAUUUUGAAGAAUUUUUCGUAGCAAAUUAGAAUGCAUUUGAAAAGGCAGUUCGUGAAGUGUCAUUAUUGGGCGGAAGACAUAUGUAUGAAUUUAUUUAUCGAUGCGGAAAGAUGUUAAUAACAAAUGGUUUUGCUUCCACAUACAGUUAUUGUGGUAAAAGAAAUAAGGAGGCGUUUAAGGAGCUACAUUUGAACAAACUAAUGAUUCAUUCUUUGGACGCGACAUUGGUGACAUUACUUGAAAAAUCGGCGGAGUCGAUGAAAAAAAGGAGCGAUGAAAUUAAAAACAGAAUAUCGAAGAAUGUGCCACUGAAUCGAUCUUUGUUAGAAGAAAGUAUAGAGCGGAAUGCAGCGUCGAGUUGGACCGUCUCAUGAACGACA